AUACGGAGGGUGCAAGCGUUAUUCGGAAUCACUGGGCGUAAAGGGUGCGUAGGCGGUUUGAUAAGUCUGAUGUGAAAUCCUAUGGCUCAACCAUAGAACUGCAUUGGAAACUGUCAGACUAGAAUACUGAAGGGGCAGAUGGAAUUAGUGGUGUAGGGGUAAAAUCCGUAGAAAUCACUAGGAAUACCGAAAGCGAAAGCGAUCUGCUGGGAAGUUAUUGACGCUGAGGCACGAAAGCGUGGGGAGCAAACGGGAUUAGAAACCCUAGUAGUCC
rnacentral:rRNA from 1 species